CCUACGGGAGGCAGCAGUGAGGAAUAUUGGUCAAUGGGCGGAAGCCUGAACCAGCCAAGUCGCGUGAGGGAAUAAGGCCCUACGGGUCGUAAACCUCUUUUGCCGGGGAGCAAGGGCGGGGACGUGUCCCGGCCCGGAGAGUACCCGGAGAAAAAGCAUCGGCUAACUCCGUGCCAGCAGCCGCGGUAAUACGGAGGAUGCGAGCGUUAUCCGGAUUUAUUGGGUUUAAAGGGAGCGUAGGCCGGCUUUUAAGUCAGCUGUGAAAGUCCGCGGCUCAACCGUGGAAUUGCAGUUGAAACUGGAGG
rnacentral:rRNA from 1 species